AGAUGAAGAAGAGACAGGAGGCCCUCCAAGCAAAGGAACCACUCAUGUCAAGACAUGGGGCAAAAAGAGAGGAUGUAUUUGGAGAACAGAGAGUAACCGAAGGCUAUCAUUCAAUCAGUGAUAGUCUUCAUGGAGGUUAAUAUCAAAGGCAACCUGAAUUUCCUCAGACUUCAUGAGCUGGCGGUGAAGGGCGCUGGAUCCAGGGCAAAAAUGAAGACAUAAGGGACCUUAGGUGACAAGGAAGAAGCUCCCAGGCAGCAUGUGGGAUGGACCCAAGGAGAACGUCAGAGAGAAAGAGUUCAGUCUGGUGUCUCCUGAAGCAGGUUAAAAUUAAGCUCGGCAGGCUCGACGUAAAUGUGCAGACAAAGCAAAGCAGGAAGCCUCCCACACUAAAAAGGGAAGAUAAGAAUCACAGAAGCUGGGAUGGUUUUUAUUGAAGGGCAUUUCAAAGCAAAUACAGACAUCUACAGCAUAUUUGUAAAUCCUCCGUAUGUGUAUGGAAACACACACCUUCACACAUCAAAACUGGAUUUGUUCCUGAGUAACAAAACGUCCUAAGAACAAAAUGAAAGAAAACCAAAUAGCAGAAAAAUACUUCCAAUGUAUAUACCACAAAGGAUUAUUUAUCAACUCAACACACCAAGAGUUAAGAAAAUAAUGCAACAGGAACAAAGGGCAAAGGAUAUGUACUGGGAAGACCACAGAGAAAGAAAAUGCAAAUGGCUAAUAAUAUAAAAUAUUUCCUAGGUUCAAUAGUAAUCAGGGAAAGACAAAAUUACACUUUUGACCUCUUAGACUGGCAGUGACAAAGAUUAUUUGAGUGACCAAGCUUUAGUCAGGCUCCUGGAUCUUCUAGGCCCAUCUGGGCACUUCCUCGUAAAAUACAGUUUUAACAAAAGCCCUGCUAAAUUGGUUUACCGAGAACUCCCACCCUCAAUCGAGUUCCUUAGCCCUUCACCUUUCCUCAGGUGAGGGCUGAUCAUCCUGUCCUGUCUUCAGCAAGACUGCUCUAACGCUGACGUUUCCUUUUAGUAAUUUUCCAUCCACUGACACCCACUUGUAAUUUAUAGCCAAGGAGCAAGAUACACUGCUCCUUGGCUAUAAGUUAUUUUCCCUGUUACAUUCAGAGUUGAGCCCAAUCCCACUCCCCGACUACAAAAUCGAUAGCAGUGGUCCCUAUACCUAUUGCAAUGGUCCUAAAUAAAACCUGCCUUACCGUGCUUGAACAA
rnacentral:lncRNA from 1 species